AAAAUAUCAAUAAAGCGUCAAAAUCAUGAACUUCAUUUUGAUACUAUUAACUCUUGCUUUAUUUUCAAAACCUGGAGUCCAAGCACUGAAAGUGGUGGUGGUAAAAAACACCACCUACAGAAAGGAUGAUUCGUCCUUAGGGUUAGGGGUUUUCGCUGACUUCCACCACCAGCACACCCAUCGUGGUCACAUCACCAGACACAGAGACGUAAAAUUAAAGGAAUCAGAGACAACGAACUAAAAAAAUAAAAACUGCGCCACUUUUGUUA